UACAGAGGGUGCAAGCGUUGUUCGGAAUUACUGGGCGUAAAGCGCACGUAGGCGGCUUUGUAAGUUAGAGGUGAAAGCCCCGGGCUUAACCUGGGAACUGCGUUUGAUACGGAUGGGCUAGAGUUCGGGAGAGGAGAGUGGAAUUCCCAGUGUAGAGGUGAAAUUCGUAGAUAUUGGGAAGAACACCGGUGGUGAAGGCGGCUCUCUGGACUGACAUUGACGCUGAGGCGCGAAAGCGUGGGGAGCAAACAGG
rnacentral:rRNA from 1 species